ACUGGUGGCACCGUGUGGCUGCCAGGAAGAACCAGGAAAGGGCCCCCCUGGAUCCCCCGGCCCCCCCAGAGGAGGGGGAGGUGCUGUACACCCACGUCGUGGUCACCAAGAGGGCAGGGGCGUCCCCCCGUGCCACCACCCUCCAGGAUCCCCAGGUGACCUACGCGGAGCUGCGGGGACCCCAGGGGCGACCACGGGAACCCGGUGACAUCUACGGGAAUGUGCUGUGACA